rnacentral:rRNA from 1 species
AGGGUUUGAUCAUGGCUCAGAUUGAACGCUGGUGGUAUGCUUAACACAUGCAAGUCGAACGGUAACAUUGGAGCUUGCUCCAGAUGACGAGUGGCGGACGGGUGAGUAACGCGUAGGAAUCUGCCUAGUAGUGGGGGACAACAUGUGGAAACGCAUGCUAAUACCGCAUACGCCCUACGGGGGAAAGCGGGGGAUCUUCGGACCUCGCGCUAUUAGAUGAGCCUGCGUUAGAUUAGCUUGUUGGUGGGGUAAUGGCCUACCAAGGCGACGAUCUAUAGCUGGUCUGAGAGGACGAUCAGCCACACUGGGACUGAGACACGGCCCAGACUCCUACGGGAGGCAGCAGUGGGGAAUAUUGGACAAUGGGCGCAAGCCUGAUCCAGCAAUACCACGUGUGUGGAGAAGGCCUGAGGGUUGUAAAGCACUUUCAAUUGGGAGGAAAACAGCUGGGUUAAUAGCCCUGCUCUUGACAUUACCUUUAGAAGAAGCACCGGCUAACUCCGUGCCAGCAGCCGCGGUAAUACGGAGGGUGCGAGCGUUAAUCGGAAUUACUGGGCGUAAAGCGUACGUAGGCGGUUAUUUAAGUCAGAUGUGAAAGCCCCGGGCUCAACCUGGGAACUGCAUUUGAAACUGGAUAACUAGAGUUUGAUAGAGGAGAGUAGAAUUUCUGGUGUAGCGGUGAAAUG